UUCAUUCAGCUUUCAUUUUUAAUCUGUAGAAGUUCACAUUCUUAACAUUAGCAUCAUGAGAACAAGCUGUGGGUUUUAUUAAUCUGAUGUUAUUCUUGGUUUGAGUUGAUAAAGAUGGAUAUAAUGCUUUGCAUUCUGCUUUUAGUUGCUGUUCCUUUGAGUGGAGCCAAUUGCCCUCGAGGCCAUAUCGCUCAAACAGAUGGAAGUUGCAUAGUUGGUGUUCCUUUGAGUGGAGCCAAUUGCCCUCCAGGCCAUAUCGCUCAAACAGAUGGAAGUUGCAUAG